rnacentral:RNase_P_RNA from 1 species
GUGGACCGGAUGGUCGCUGGUUCAUUUUAUGAACGAGAGGAAAGUCCGGGCUUCACAGAGCACGAUGGUCGGUAACACCGACCGGCCGUAAGGUCAGGGAUAGUGCAACAGAAAGUAAACCGCCCGCUUGCGGGUAAGGGUGAAACGGUGAGGUAAGAGCUCACCAGCAUGUCAGGUGACUGAUGUGGCUAGGCAAACCCCAUUGGAAGCAAGGCCAAGCAGGAAAGAAGAUGGUUUACCAUCCGGGAGUAGCUCGCUCUCGUCGAUUUCCGGGUAGGCUGCUUGAGGUGGCAAGCAAUUGUCGUCCUAGAUGAAUGACCAUCGUCACUUCGGUGAUGACAGAACCCGGCUUAUGGUCCACC